rnacentral:rRNA from 1 species
UACGUAGGGUGCGAGCGUUAAUCGGAAUUACUGGGCGUAAAGCGUGCGCAGGCGGUUUUGUAAGCCAGAUGUGAAAUCCCCGGGCUUAACCUGGGAAUGGCAUUUGGGACUGCAAGGCUGGAGUGCGGCAGAGGAGACUGGAAUUCCUGGUGUAGCAGUGAAAUGCGUAGAUAUCUGGAGGAACACCGGUGGCGAAGGCGGCAUCCUGGACCGGCAUUGACGCUGAGGCGCGAAAGCUAGGGGAGCAAACGGG